UACAGAGGGUGCAAGCGUUAAUCGGAAUUACUGGGCGUAAAGGGUGCGUAGGUGGUUGAAUAAGUUAGGUGUGAAAGUCCUGGGCUUAACCUGGGGAUUGCGCCUAAUACUGUUUAGCUAGAGUACUGUAGAGGAAGGUGGAAUUUCCAGUGUAGCGGUGAAAUGCGUAGAUAUUGGAAGGAACAUCAGUGGCGAAGGCGACUUUCUGGACAGAUACUGACACUGAGAGACGAAAGCUAGGGGAGCGAAUGGG
rnacentral:rRNA from 1 species